rnacentral:rRNA from 1 species
AGUAGUUUGUAUCGUCGGCGUCAGGACGAACGCUGGCGGCGUGCUUCAAACAUGCAAGUCGAACGGAGUUAAUUUAGCUUGCUAAUUAACUUAGUGGCGGACUGGUGAGUAACGCGUGAGUAAUCUGCCUAUUACAGGGGGAUAACAGUUGGAAACGACUGCUAAUACCGCAUAAGACCACGGGAAGGCAUCUUCAAGGGGGUCAAAGGGAUACUGGUAAUAGAUGAGCUUGCGUAUCAUUAGCUAGAUGGUGAGGGUAAAGGCCCACCAUGGCGACGAUGAUUAGCCGAUCUGAGAGGAUGACCGGCCACACUGGAACUGAGAUACGGUCCAGACUCCUACGGGAAGCAGCAGUUAGGAAUAUUGGGCAAUGGAGGAAACUCUGACCCAGCAACGCCGCGUGAAGGAAGAAGGUUUUCGGAUUGUAAACUUCUGAUCUUGGGGAAAAAGAAAGUGAUGGUACCCAAGGAGAAAGCCACGGCUAACUACGUG